UUGCAUAAAUGCCAGAAGUCUUUUCCCUAUGCCUGGAGACAAGAAUUUUUCAAGGUUUCCAUCUGGAGUCAGCAUUUCUCCUUGUUACACAUGGGGGUGCAAACAACUGAACCUCAAAAUGGUCGACAUAGAUAGUAAUAGGAGCUUCCUUUGUUUCUCUCUCCUGUGUUAUGCCCUUUGUGUAUGAACUUUGAGGGCCUUAUCCCAUUGACUCUUCAUAACAGCUCUUCCAGCUUGGCUGCUGCUGUGAUGUUGAAGGAACAAAUCAAGGACACAAGGUUGAGAGAUACAAUGUGGCAGAUUUCAAACAGGAGAGCUGCUGAGUACUUUACUAUCUUUUUUUUUAUUUUCAAAAUAAGAAUUGAAAUAAUAGAAAUAUGUCAA
rnacentral:lncRNA from 1 species